rnacentral:rRNA from 1 species
GAUGAACGCUGGCGGCGUGCUUAACACAUGCAAGUCGAACGGAAAGGCCCAAGCUUGCUUGGGUACUCGAGUGGCGAACGGGUGAGUAACACGUGGGUGAUCUGCCCUGCACUUCGGGAUAAGCCUGGGAAACUGGGUCUAAUACCGGAUAGGACCACAUUUUGGAUGGUGUGGUGGAAAGUUUUUCGGUGUGGGAUGAGCUCGCGGCCUAUCAGCUUGUUGGUGGAGUAAUGGCCUACCAAGGCGUCGACGGGUAGCCGGCCUGAGAGGGUGUACGGCCACAUUGGGACUGAGAUACGGCCCAGACUCCUACGGGAGGCAGCAGUGGGGAAUAUUGCACAAUGGGCGCAAGCCUGAUGCAGCGACGCCGCGUGGGGGAUGACGGCCUUCGGGUUGUAAACUCCUUUCGCUAGGGACGAAGCGUUAUGUGACGGUACCUGGAGAAGAAGCACCGGCUAACUACGUG